UGCAAGUCAAGGAGAACAUUAUCUUCGGAUAAUAAGUAAACUGGCGAACGGGUGAGUAACGCGUAAAUAACUUGCCUCAGAGAUUGGGACAACAUUGGGAAACCAGUGCUAAUACCAAAUAAUGCAGCGGGCUCUUAGGAGCACAGUUGUUAAAGUAGGCUUCGGCUUACACUUUGAGAUAGGUUUGCGUCCGAUUAGUUUGUUGGUGGGGUAACUGCCUACCAAGACUAAGAUCGGUAGCUGGUCUGAGAGGAUGAUCAGCCACACUGGAAUUGAGAUACGGUCCAGACUCCUACGGGAGGCAGCAGUAAGGAAUUUUGCACAAUGGGCGAAAGCCUGAUGCAGCAACGCCGCGUGAACGAUGAAGUUUUUAGGAAUGUAAAGUUCUGUCGUAUGGGAAGAGAUCUUUCGAAUGUUAAUACCAUUCGUUAAUGACGGUACCAUACAAGAAAGCACCGGCUAACUUCGUGCCAGCAGCCGCGGUAAUACGAGGGGUGCUAGCGUUGUCCGGAUUUACUGGGCGUAAAGGGUACGUAGGCGUUUUAAAAAGUUGUAUGUUAAAUAUCUUAGCUUAACUAAGAAAGUGCAUACAAAACUGUUAAAAUAGAG
rnacentral:rRNA from 1 species